rnacentral:rRNA from 1 species
UCUUUACAAUAAAUAAAUUUCAUAUUUUAAUUUAUAAGUAUAUAAGAUAUUAAAUUUAAUAGUUGUUUCGCUGGGGCGGCGUAGAUAUAUAAAUAAACUGUCUAUAUGUUAAAUUCAAUAAUUGUUGAUUAAUUAUAUUGAUCCUUAAAUAGAUUAAAAGAUUAAGAU